CUCAGUUCUCUCCUCACCUCUGCCGGGAAUAUGUCAUAUUUUACCCCGGGAUCAUUAUCGUGAGUUUUGGAAGCGUCUUUGUAAAGGAGACUUGCUCAGGGAUCAAACGUGAGAAACUAAUGUUUCAGUCACAGCUGGAGCUUGGCUUCUUUCUUGCCCGGGAGGGUCACAGAGCUUUCAAAAACCCUCAGUGAGGCACUCAGAGCACCAAGAAAGCCAGCAGGACCCUUUGAGAAGUGAUGUACACAGUGCUGGAAGAUCCUUCUGGCAAAAUCUCCACACUCAACAGAUAGAAAUGCCAAGCUGCAGGAGCUGCAAAUAGGAAUUCAUCUCAGCAGCCAACAGCACAACGUGGAUUUUGGGGGAAAUGGCAAACUGCAUGUGA